UACGUAGGGGGCGAGCGUUGUCCGGAUUUAUUGGGCGUAAAGAGCGUGUAGGCGGCCAGGUAGGUCUGCUGUGAAAACUCGAGGCUCAACCUCGAGCUGUCGGCGGAAACUGUCUGGCUAGAGUCCGGAAGAGGAGAGUGGAAUUCCUGGUGUAGCGGUGAAAUGCGCAGAUAUCAGGAGGAACACCGGUGGCGAAGGCGGUUCUCUGGGCCUGACCUGACGCUGAGGAGCGAAAGCGUGGGGAGCGAACAGG
rnacentral:rRNA from 1 species